rnacentral:rRNA from 1 species
UACGGGGGGGGCAAGCGUUGUUCGGAAUUACUGGGCGUAAAGGGCGCGUAGGCGGUUGGAUAAGUCAGCUGUGAAAACCACGGGCUUAACUCGUGGCCUGCAGUUGAGACUGUCUGGCUUGAGUGUGGGAGAGGAGAGUGGAAUUCCUGGUGUAGCGGUGAAAUGCGUAGAUAUCAGGAGGAACACCGGUGGCGAAGGCGGCAUCCUGGACCGAGAUUGACGCUGAUGCGCGGAAGCCAGGGGAGCAAACGGG